rnacentral:lncRNA from 1 species
CCUAAAUUCUCAAAUUUAAAUUUUGAUUCUCAUUUUCAAUAAAUUUACGUUUUCUUAUAAUAAUUAUAAAAUUUUGUUAUCAUUUUGAAUAUAUCUACUCUCCAAGUUAUAGUAUAUUUUUUUUUGAAGAAUGUCAUAAAAAUGAUUGUGCAUCACAUAUCGCCCACAUUUAAAUACAUGUCAACCAAAACUGAUGGCACAAAGAAGUAUGAAGAUUUAUAAUUCUAAAAGAACUAGUUCAGAUGGCUAUAUGGACCAAAUAAAAGUUCAAGUGACCAAAUGAUAUUCUUAGAAAGUUCAAGGGAGCAUGUAUAUAUUCAGUCGUACUUUUUACCACUUGUACAAGUCAAUUCCAUAUUAGAGCAUUUGUCUUACACGCAUUCUCAGAAAUAAUAAAAGGAGAUUUAUGUGGUCCAAAAGAAUUAGUUCAGAUGACCAAGGACCAAACAAAUUUUCAAGUGCUUAAGUGAUUAUUAUCAGAAAGUUCAAGCACCAAACAUGCAUUCGUCC